rfam:Salmo salar isolate Sally breed double haploid chromosome ssa09, whole genome shotgun sequence.
GUCACUGUGGCUCAGUUGGUAGAGCAUGGUGUUUGCAAUGGUGUUUGCAAUGCCAGGGUUGUGGGUUCAAUUCCCACGGGAGGCC